rnacentral:ncRNA from 2 species
UAUCAAAGAAGAGGCGCGAAUUGAAAGAGUAGCUUCCAGGAGAACGAUCAGGUUCUGUGACUGGAGGUAAAAGGGUAAUUUGCCGAAGCUCCACGUGACUGAUAAAACGUGGGGCUGGGAUCAGUUUUAAUAAAACUGGUACUGUCGCAGCGAUGUGCUGCGGAGAGCUUCCUACGUU